rnacentral:rRNA from 1 species
UACGUAGGGCGCAAGCGUUGUCCGGAAUUAUUGGGCGUAAAGAGCUCGUAGGCGGCUUGUCACGUCGGGUGUGAAAGCCCGGGGCUUAACCCCGGGUCUGCAUUCGAUACGGGCUAGCUAGAGUGUGGUAGGGGAGAUCGGAAUUCCUGGUGUAGCGGUGAAAUGCGCAGAUAUCAGGAGGAACGCCGGUGGCGAAGGCGGGUCUCUGGGCAACAACUGACGCUGAGGAGCGAAAGCGUGGGGAGCGAACAGG